AAGCUCUGAGGUGUUUCACAUGUUGGGUUGCAAACCCAAAGUAGUAGGCUAACUGCCUACCGGGGCU
rnacentral:tRNA from 1 species